UACGUAGGGUGCAAGCGUUGUCCGGAAUUACUGGGCGUAAAGCGUGUGUAGGCGGCUACGUAAGUCGGAUGUGAAAGCCCCAGGCUCAACCUGGGAAGUGCACUCGAUACUGCGUAGCUUGAGUAUCGGAGAGGUUGGUGGAAUUCUCGGUGUAGAGGUGAAAUUCGUAGAUAUCGAGAGGAACACCGGUGGCGAAGGCGGCCAACUGGACGAAUACUGACGCUGAGACACGAAAGCGUGGGGAGCAAACAGG
rnacentral:rRNA from 1 species